UGGGGAAUAUUGGACAAUGGGCGAAAGCCUGAUCCAGCCAUGCCGCGUGUGUGAAGAAGGUCUUCGGAUUGUAAAGCACUUUAAGUUGGGAGGAAGGGUUGUAGAUUAAUACUCUGCAAUUUUGACGUUACCGACAGAAUAAGCACCGGCUAACUCUGUGCCAGCAGCCGCGGUAAUACAGAGGGUGCAAGCGUUAAUCGGAAUUACUGGGCGUAAAGCGCGCGUAGGUGGUUUGUUAAGUUGGAUGUGAAAGCCCCGGGCUCAACCUGGGAACUGCAUCCAAAACUGGCAAGCUAGAGUACGGUAGAGGGUGGUGGAAUUUCCUGUGUAGCGGUGAAAUGCGUAGAUAUAGGAAGGAACACCAGUGGCGAAGGCGACCACCUGGACUGAUACUGACACUGAGGUGCGAAAGCGUGGGGAGCAAACA
rnacentral:rRNA from 1 species